UACGGGGGGGGCAAGCGUUGUUCGGAAUUACUGGGCGUAAAGGGCUCGUAGGCGGCUAACUAAGUCGGAUGUGAAAUCCCCAGGCUUAACCUGGGAACUGCAUCCGAUACUGGAUGGCUUGAAUCCGGGAGAGGGAUGCAGAAUUCCAGGUGUAGCGGUGAAAUGCGUAGAUAUCUGGAGGAAUACCGGUGGCGAAGGCGGCAUCCUGGACCGGCAUUGACGCUGAGGAGCGAAAGCUAGGGGAGCAAACGGG
rnacentral:rRNA from 1 species